UACAGAGGGGGCAAGCGUUGUUCGGAAUUACUGGGCGUAAAGGGCGCGUAGGCGGCCCGCUAAGUCGAACGUGAAAUCCCCGGGCUCAACCCGGGAACUGCGUCCGAUACUGGCAGGCUUGAAUCCGGGAGAGGGAUGCGGAGUUCCAGGUGUAGCGGUGAAAUGCGUAGAUAUCAGGAAGAACACCCGUGGCGAAGGCGGCUCUCUGGAACGCAACUGACGCUGAGACGCGAAAGCGUGGGGAGCAAACAGG
rnacentral:rRNA from 1 species